CUUCUCCAAGAGUGCGCUGCCUGGGCCCGCUUGCCCUGGAGUGUAAGUGCUGGUAACUUCAGCAGUCAACGGAGAGAAGAGUGGAAACCUUACUGGAUGCGGACAGGAGAGCCAGUUACUGAAAGCAGAUAUAACGCGGAUCCUGUAAAGAGUGAAUUGUAUAUUUCCACAUAUGCUGGACAAUAGGCAGAAAGUGGAGACCCAAAGAACUUGUGAUAUGACGGACAUAAGAA
rnacentral:lncRNA from 1 species